UUUCCGUAGGUGAACCUGCGGAAGGAUCAUUACUGAGUGAGGGCCCUCGGGGUCCAACCUCCCACCCGUGUUUAACGAACCUUGUUGCUUCGGCGGGCCCGCCUCACGGCCGCCGGGGGGCAUCUGCCCCCGGGCCCGCGCCCGCCGAAGCCACCUGUGAACGCUGUCUGAAGUAUGCAGUCUGAGACAAUUAUUAAAUUAAUUAAAACUUUCAACAACGGAUCUCUUGGUUCCG
rnacentral:misc_RNA from 1 species